UACGAAGGGGGCUAGCGUUGCUCGGAAUCACUGGGCGUAAAGCGCACGUAGGCGGACUCUUAAGUCGGUGGUGAAAUCCUGGAGCUCAACUCCAGAACUGCCUCCGAUACUGGGAGUCUUGGAGUCCGGGAGAGGUGAGUGGAACUGCGAGUGUAGAGGUGAAAUUCGUAGAUAUUCGCAAGAACACCAGUGGCGAAGGCGGCUCACUGGCCCCGGUACUGACGCUGAGGUGCGAAAAGCGUGGGGAGCAAACAGG
rnacentral:rRNA from 1 species